rnacentral:lncRNA from 1 species
UUUUAUUGUUUGCUUGACAAAGAGGAAAGAAAAAGAAUGGGAUAGAUCAGUGGUUCUCCCAAGUGUGGUCUCUGGACCAGGAUCAUCCACGACAUUAGGGAACUUAAUAGGACUGUAGAAUCUCAGAUCCCACCUCAGACCUACUUAAUUUCAGCAACUCUGAGGACCAGGAUCCAGCCAGCUGUGGUUUAACAAGCCAGUCAGGUGAUUCCAUUAUCAGCUAAACUCUGAGAUCCACAGGCACAGACAUUUUACCUCAUUAAUCUGACUAAAAAACCCUCAUCUUCUCUGCCCAGCCUCAUCCUUCUGCGGGACGUGGAGGACGCGGGACGACGCGUAGGACUGGGCUGUCAGCCCCAGAAUUGUGACCCGAGGUGCAGUUUUACCUUGUGAAGUGGGAAUAACCAAAUGGAAGCAGGAUGAGUUCGGAAUCCAAGGAGUUUGGGUCUGGUAAGUGAGCCAUGAUGCUGCAGUUCUCCGGGUUGUAUUGUGUCUGUCUGAUUUGAUAGAGGGCCCUGUAGAAGCUGAGGCUGAGGCUACUAGAAGCUCCAGGCCCAGCAGAGAUGUGAAGACAGGUGAAAACCGGGGGAUUAGGUGACUUCCUAGUUCCACAAUUG